ACGGCGAAUGCCGUCCGGAUUACAUUGCGUUCCCGGUUCGAGUCCGGGCGGUUGCGCGAGCGGCCGUAGCUCAAUUGGUAGAGCAGAUGUCCGGGCGAUGUUGUCGCCACCCU
rnacentral:Y_RNA from 1 species